AUUGAUUUCGCUAUAAAUUCCCACACACUAGAUUACUCAUUUAAAACUUUGAGGAAGCAACUGUAUAGGAAAAAACAUGUCGGAUAAAAUCGUAACUUCAUCGCAGGCGGACCUAGAAAUGGAACAGAGGACAUUGUCUUUGCUUAAAUAUAUUGCUGCCAAGAUGUGCAAGAAGGACCCUUUCCAGAGACCAACCGCCGAAAAAGUUAUUACCAUGCUGACAGAAAAGGACGCGAAAUCUGAAGACGGGAAAGGCAAUGCAUUGAGUAAAAUAUAAUAAACAAAGAAUUCGAACAAUUGAAGAAACCGAGUUAAUGAAAUUAACAUUGUAUAUUCAGAAUGACUUUUAUCUCAAGUGUAAAAACAAUUACAUUAAC
rnacentral:sRNA from 1 species